rnacentral:tRNA from 1 species
UUCGUUGUCGUCCACCGCUUAGGAUAUUUAGCUUUCACACAGGAGACCCGGGUUAAAAUUCCCGGCAACGGAA